UAAAUUAUUUUUCUUCAAUCCUACCUUUUUAUUCGUCUAUUUUAAAUUUAUGUAUGUAGAUAUGUCGAUAUAUUUGAUAGAUGAUUGCAAAAAACAAAAAUGCCAGAACAGUUUUUUAGGUAUGUAUCGAAAGAAAAAACUAACUUAUUUGAAGUAAAUUAUUAUGUUAGAUGUAGGUACUAGGAUGCGUUUAAGUAUCUAUUCUAUAAACUUAUAACAACUGUUUUUUAUACUUUUCACGAUGACACAAAUAAAUAUCCUGUUAGAAUGUAUUGCUAUAUCAAUCUUCCUUAGACAUCCAUCUGGUGUAUAUUCGAUUAAACAACAUCGUUACAGUAUGCAUAUCUGAAACGAAAUGUCAGUUAUGUUUUUUUUCUCUCAUAAAAAUUCAUAUGAAUGUGAAAACGAAAUGUUUUUGAAACGGUUCAUCGGAUAUGCGAUUUUUGAGGUUUCCCACAUCUGAUAUAGGUACAAGUCAACUCCCAUUAUUGUACUUGUCAAUAAAAUGUCCGGACCUCC